AACUCUCUCUCUCUGGAACUCAACCCACUCUGAGCACAGCAACCUCCCAUUCACUUCCGUCACCCAAAUCCCAACUCUCUCUCUCUCUCUCUAUAUCUCUCAUCUCUCUCUGCGCGCCCAAUUUGUCAAGGAAGUACCUCUGGCAAAAUCAGCUCUGGUUAGAGUUUCAAGCCGAAGAGUUUCGGGAUCAG